rnacentral:rRNA from 3 species
AUUUUCUGAAAGUUGACCU